GAGCGAACAGACGAGGAGCUUGCUCCUCUGACGUUAGCGGCGGACGGGUGAGUAACACGUGGAUAACCUACCUAUAAGACUGGGAUAACUUCGGGAAACCGGAGCUAAUACCGGAUAAUAUAUUGAACCGCAUGGUUCAAUAGUGAAAGACGGUUUUGCUGUCACUUAUAGAUGGAUCCGCGCCGCAUUAGCUAGUUGGUAAGGUAACGGCUUACCAAGGCAACGAUGCGUAGCCGACCUGAGAGGGUGAUCGGCCACACUGGAACUGAGACACGGUCCAGACUCCUACGGGAGGCAGCAGUAGGGAAUCUUCCGCAAUGGGCGAAAGCCUGACGGAGCAACGCCGCGUGAGUGAUGAAGGUCUUCGGAUCGUAAAACUCUGUUAUUAGGGAAGAACAAAUGUGUAAGUAACUAUGCACGUCUUGACGGUACCUAAUCAGAAAGCCACGGCUAACUACGUGCCAGCAGCCGCGGUAAUACGUAGGUGGCAAGCGUUAUCCGGAAUUAUUGGGCGUAAAGCGCGCGUAGGCGGUUUUUUAAGUCUGAUGUGAAAGCCCACGGCUCAACCGUGGAGGGUCAUUGGAAACUGGAAAACUUGAGUGCAGAAGAGGAAAGUGGAAUUCCAUGUGUAGCGGUGAAAUGCGCAGAGAUAUGGAGGAUCAACAGUGGCGAAGGCGACUUUCUGGUCUGUAACUGACGCUGAUGUGCGAAAGCGUGGGGAUCAAACAGGAUUAGAUACCCUGGUAGUCCACGCCGUAAACGAUGAGUGCUAAGUGUUAGGGGGUUUCCGCCCCUUAGUGCUGCAGCUAACGCAUUAAGCACUCCGCCUGGGGGAGUACGACCGCAAGGUUGGAAACUCAAGGAAUUGAUGGGACCCGCA
rnacentral:rRNA from 1 species